UACGAAGGGUGCUAGCGUUGUUCGGAAUCAUUGGGCGUAAAGGGUGCGUAGGCGGUUUAGUAAGUCAGUUGUGAAAGCCCAGGGCUCAACCCUGGAACUGCAAUUGAAACUGCUCGACUAGAAUUUGGUGGGGGAUAAUAGAAUUCCUAGUGUAGGGGUGAAAUCCGUAGAUAUUAGGAGGAAUACCAGCGGCGAAGGCG
rnacentral:rRNA from 1 species